UCAGUAACACGGAUUCGAUCCUUGGCACCUGUGUAAAUCAAGGCGAAUUCGUGUUACUAUUC
rnacentral:pre_miRNA from 1 species